rnacentral:piRNA from 1 species
UACAGCCUGAUAGGUUAUUUCUCUACCUGU